UUUAAAAAGAAAGGAGAAGAAUAGGGCCAAAGAAAACAAGAGUAUUAUUUAUUUUAGUAGUUGAUGGCCCAAAAUGAAAAGGAACUAACCGGAUGAAGUCAAGAGUGGAUGCAAAGUCAGCUGGGCCACAUAACAAUUUGGACGAAUAGGAGGGCUUGGGCUACAUGGGUUGCCAAAUAUCAAAAAGGCCAACAGUUUGCGUGAAGGUGAGAAUGGAGGCUGCUACCUGUUGAUUUUAUUUUAUUUAUAUAUAGACGAACGAGAAGAGAAAGGAGGGGGUGGAAGGCAGACGACUGAGCAGGAGACGCACGGAGAAGGCAGCCGCCUUCGGGCGGCUGUACACGGUUCAAGGCAUGAUUGAUUAGGUGGCUUUCUCCAAGCAUACGUCAUCAGGAUCAUAGAAGGUUCAAAGCAGCUAAAGGAGAAGGUGUGGAGCUUCAAAACAGAAAAAGAGAGUGCAGAUGCUGAAAGGUUGAAAAGCCAAAUGGCAAAGGCACAACCUUUUCCUUCACUCAGCUCUUGUGCUUUCAAGGAAAAUACCUACAUCGUUAGUGGCAUCAAAUUUCUAAGCAUCAAAUGAGGUUUUGAAACCUGGUGCUGGUAAAAGGAGUUGAGGCUGCCUCUUCAACUCAUAUAUGAAGUGGAAUUGAAAAGUACAGUUGCAGAUGUAAGUAUUUUGUUUUACAUGACAAGUUAUUAACUCAUUUUUUAUGAUAUUAUAUUGGUGUUUACUAACUUAGAUGAUAUUAGAGUUCAGCUGUUUAGUUUCGGGAUAAAAAAUAACCAUUAAAGGCAUGGUAACAGGUCCAUACAUUUUUGACUGAAUACACAAACAUGAUUUGGGCUUUGAAAUCAGUACCAUCAACAGGCAUGAUACAUGGCCCAGGUGUUGAUUUUAUAAAGCCUCAAAAGUGCUCAGGAUUGAUUUUGUUGGCCGUUGAAAAAAAAAACAAUUCGAUGCAAAUAUAUAUAGCAAAUAUCCUGUAACUGGUUUCCCCUGCUACAAAAACACUUAACAUUUUAUCUUAAUCAUAAUCAUAAUCAACACCAAAACAAGAAUACAUAUAGUCGUUAGCUCAGUUCACUUGGAUGUCAUAGUUUCAAAAUAAAUCAUUAAAGAUAACCUAAUAUGAUUCAAAAUAAACCAUAGAUUUAACAUACAAUAAUUAGAAUCUGAACUCAACACCAAAACAAGAAUAUAUAUAGUCGUUAGCUCAGUUCACUUGGAUGUCACCCAUUUCAAAUCAACGGUUUCAAAAUAAAUCAUUAAAGAUAACCUAAUAUGAUUCAAAAUAAACCAUAGAUUUAACAUACAAUAGUUAGAAUCAAACAACAUCUUAACUCAAUUAACCAAACUACUACAAAAUAAACCAUUAAUAGGAUUUAUCCAAAAUACUCCAUUAAAGAUACUAAUAAAAGUAAUCAUUCAACAUCAUCAUCCUCAGUUGAGUUUACUACAAUUACCAUCAGAACCAAAAGAAAAA